rnacentral:rRNA from 1 species
AGAACGAACGCUGGCGGCAUGCCUAACACAUGCAAGUCGAACGAGACCUUCGGGUCUAGUGGCGCACGGGUGCGUAACGCGUGGGAAUCUGCCCUUAGGUACGGAAUAACAGUGAGAAAUUACUGCUAAUACCGUAUGAUGUCUUCGGACCAAAGAUUUAUCGCCUAGGGAUGAGCCCGCGUAGGAUUAGCUAGUUGGUGGGGUAAAGGCCUACCAAGGCGACGAUCCUUAGCUGGUCUGAGAGGAUGAUCAGCCACACUGGGACUGAGACACGGCCCAGACUCCUACGGGAGGCAGCAGUGGGGAAUAUUGGACAAUGGGCGAAAGCCUGAUCCAGCAAUGCCGCGUGAGUGAAGAAGGCCUUCGGGUUGUAAAGCUCUUUUACCCGGGAAGAUAAUGACGUGUACCGGGAGAAUAAGCCCCGGCUAACUCCGCGCCAGCAGCCGC